GAAAGGCUUCAGACUAGGGAAAUACUCUAGGCUUUGGCUUAUUUGAUUGUGUCCGUUUGGCGGAGUUUUUUGAGGCUGUGAAGCUGUACAUUUUUUUUUUUUUUGAAUGCAUGUUACACAUCAACUAGAAGUUAAACACCUUGCCUGUGAGUACAUUUUUUUUUAAGUGAAAAGCCCUGGUGUUAAUGAAUGAGAGAAAUGACCACAGGGGGGCGCUGUAUCCCUUUCCUGUGCGCAAGAGGCCCUCCCCAGGGUUGCUGGAGUUGCGGACCCGCCAUCCUUAGAGGAGAGAUUUGUGGUCUUGAUUCAGAGCGCUGGCUGCGGAGGAUGGGAGCGAGGUGUUGCAAGCUCACUUGGUGGUCCCGUGUAGGUUAAACACCUAAGGAAUGCCACAUUCUUCGGAGAAAUUAAGAUUCCUGCCUUGCUGUAAAUAGACACCCACGAGGAGAUGGGGCAGUUCUGGAACGGCCAGGCCCUGCUGUUAUCGACGGAAAUCCUGUGUGGUGACUCAGCUUCUUCAAAUGUGGAGACUAGAUCACAGCUUCCUUAUCGCUUUAACGUCCCUGGUCCUCAUGAUGACACUCAGCCAAGAGGCAAAGGAGGUGAGAUCCAUGUGAGACACCAGGAUUGGUUGAAAAAUCUCAGGAUGAAGUUGGAACAAAGCCUUCCUACUCCUCAGCUCUUAGAGCUCCAGGGUCUUCCUAGCUUCCCAGCUGAGCUGCUCUUCCCUACAAGGAUUUCUGUGACUGUCCAGACCAAGAAUGCAGUCUCCAAGAUCCAUAACAUCAACCAGACAAGAGGUCUUGGGAAGACCCUCAGAGACAGUGAGGACCAUGGCCAGCUCAAGGGUUGUGUAUGACCUAAGAGGACUGAUGUGAGUUGGUCUCUCUUGAGAAAGAGAGCUGAUCAGGUGUGUCAAGAAGACUUAAGAUGGGAAUUGACUCAAGCAGAUAUGAAAACCUGGAAGGUUCACCAUGUGGUACCUGCAAGCUAAAGAAUGAAGAAGGCCAGCAUUUUCAUACGGACUGGGUCUGAAGGUCUAAGAACCAAGCCAACUUCUGAGGCAGAAGAUAGAGAAGAAGAGGAGAUGGAUGUUCCAGCUAAAAGAACCCCAGAAUUUCACCCUUCCUUUCUAUUCCACGCAAACUCUGGGUAGAUGAGAUGGUGUUGCCUGCCAUGGUGGGGGUGGGUCUUUAUCAUCCACCAACUCAAGUGACAAUCUCUUCCAGAAACUCCCUCCUGGACACACCUAGAAAUGAUGUUCUGAUUAGUUUCCUGGGCAUCCUUGAGCCUAGUCAGGUCAACACACAAAAAAAUUAAUAAUCACAGAGUUUGAUUUCCACUAAACCCAAGUCAGAGUCACUCUGGAAUAAAUGGGUGGUGUUGCCAUUUACUCUGCUUCCACAGAUGCUGAACACCCACAUUUUAAGGUCAGAUAGAGAGAGCUCAACUUAAAAAAGAAAACACAACACGGGCUGGUGAGAUGACUCCAUGGGUACUGGUGCUUGCGAUGCAAGCCUGGUGACCUGAGUUCAAUUCCCUGGAUCCCGUGAAAGGGUGGACGGAGAAAACCUGCUCCACAAAGUUAUCCUCUGACCUCCACAUGUGCACUGUGGUGUGUGUGUGUGCAUACACAUGUAAUUCAUAAAUAAAUUAAAUAAAUUUAGAAUCAACUCAUCUCCAACAAACAAGAACAAGCAUGAUCUAGGACAUAAGCAAAAGUCUGUGGAUCAGAUUUAGCCAGUAGCUGCUGUCUGUCUUUGAGGUCUAUCUUUACAAAUUUUACAGGACUCUGUCUGUCUCUUAUGCUGUGUUUACAAGGCCUAUCAUGCUUGGCUCUGCAGCCAUUCAUGAACUUUUUUACUUGUCACCACCUACAAGUGGACGUUGUGGGAUGCUGGGGAAAAAACAGGACCUGGCACACUUGUAUAGAAGGGACAGCAGUGUGUUCAGAUCAGUGUCUGCUGGUGUCCAUCCUUGGUUUAUCCACAGAGCCCAGAUAUAACUCCAUCAUGCAGGUAGCACACAGGGCAGGUAGUCAUGAUUUAUUAUACAUUUUUUGAGACAAGGUCUCAC